AAAGAUAAGCAGGAGAUCUGGUUUGCACAAUCACACCUAUGGAGAAGCACGCAGAGGUUGGGAGAUGGUUAUCACCGACCACGUGUCAACAUCUUCAAAACUCAUCUCGAUCGGUUUCUCUGUGCUUCGCAGUUGCUAAUUGCUUUCACCCCGCACGCGUGGCCCGAUGCACUCUCUGAGUUACUGAACCUGAGGACCUGCUACAGAUGGGAAAGCUGAGGUGCAGAGGGUUUAAGGAACUCCAUAAUGAAAGAGGUUAUCAUCCAGGAGUUAUACCCAGCUUGUUUUUAAACCUGCAAAGGGAAGAUAAUGUGAACAAAGCAGUGAUGGCUCUCAGGUUCCUCCCCAGGUACCAGGAGAGCAGUGGGGCUGUUUUGGAUCACCUGAGCACAGAUACUGGAGUGCUCUUCACCUCAUGUCUGUCACUGAGAGCUACAUGUGGUUGCUAAGCCUCCCCUAUCACAUGGAAGGGUGGAGACAGGGCAGCAGUUUUCUCUGGAAAAGAGACAGAUGAUCAUGCCAAGUUGUGGAGAAGUACUGGCAAUGGCUUUCUUGGGAAGAGAUUGAGACACUCUUUUGACAGGAGCCAACACCCAUUUUGAGAUGGAAAAUGUUCAUCCCACCAUCUAACUCUGCAGCGUCUUCUCCAGCAGGAGCUUCUCUGGGAAAACACCCACUGCUGUGUGAUGCUGAAGAUCCUGUGGCUUGUUCUGUCACCAGUACCGACCCUGCCUGUGCUCAUGCUCUCUUUUUAUUGCAUUUUUGCCUGCACAAAAUGCUGUGAACAGCCAACUGGCCACAGUUAAACGUGAGAAUGGGAGUGAAACAGGUUUCCCCUGCCUGCUGCCUUUGUUUCCAGAGACUUUGCGGUGGUAUCUUGUCUUGUUUGUCUCUGCAUCAGUCUGGUCAUCAUCUAUUGUCUGUCAGUUUGGGGCUCAGUGUCCCAUGCUCAGGCAGCAGGAGUCUAACAGGGCUCACCUCUCCCCAGGCUGCUGUGGCAGGGUUCACAGGGAGCCUGCUGUCAGUACGUGCACUGCUGGUUCAGGCAAAAUGAGCUCUGCAUUCACAAAUAAUACAACUUUGGCUAAAUUCAAGCCCAAAGGAAUCACUACCUUGUGCUUUUCUCUCACGUGUGUAUUUUUAGACUAGCUACAGUUUGGAUACUAGCUGGCAUAAAUCCCAUUUUUUUGAUGGUUUGGGUUUUGGUGCCUGGGACAGGGUUGUGUAAAUCUGUUCAUUCAGUUAAACCAGAGUAACAGCUGAAUUCAGACAGGUCUGCUACAGAGACCUGCAACACAUACCCAAGGUAAAGCAAUUCCCACAUCUCACUGGCAGAUACAAACAAAUAAAUAGUCAGUCUUAAAGCUUUUGUACAGAAGACACUUUAUCCAUUUAAAAUACAUUUUAAGAGUGCAAAAGGGUGAGUGAGUAUUUCCAAAUGCACAGCACAAAACAAGGCCUUACAGAUUGCCAGAAAAUGGUGGAAAUUGAGGAGAUAGCAGUAUCUCCUAUUUGGAUAACCAGGCAGAAAACAAGUGUUGUGAGCUUUGGGCCUGUGGAGCACAGGGAUGGUAUCAGAAGGCAGAGGUAAGGGAAGGGCACUUGGUGGGCUUUAUUGUGUUCCAAGACUGCAUCCUAUUUCCUACACUAAAGGAACACAUCGUGUUGGGUUUUCUCCAACAAGCAGGAUAUUGUUUAAGUCCUUUUUCAACAAAGUAUUAUCAAGUUUAUUUGGGUUUUUUUGUUUUGCUUUUAAUUGGGAGCAGCAGCAAAGUUCAGAGUACCAUGGGCAGAUGUUACAGGGACACGAAAGUACAAGAUAAGGUGCUUCCUAACACAGGAAGGCUAUUUUAAUAGUUGGUUUUUAAGCUGAUAUUUACAAAGGAAGGAAAGUCAAAGGCAACAAUAAUUAAUGUCAUCAUUAUGGUGCUGAUUUGCAGAGAAACACAGUGGGAUUAGGAACUCAAUCAUUUCAGCUUUUUAGAAGACUUCAACACCAGAUCAGGCAGCAAUUGAAAGACAAUAAGCAUCAAAAUCUAGGUGUUGCUCUCUAAAUUUUAUGUAAGGAACCUAUAUUUAUAUAAGUGUAUAGAUUGCAGAUGGAAAAGAGUGUUAACAAAAGGGAAGGUAAAGUUACAGGUCUCACCAUCUUCCCUCAUUAAUGGUUCUCAGCAAAACCUGCUGAGCUUUGUGACUUUUUAUUUAUCAUUAAAACACAAUUUUUGUUAUUUGCUGAAUGGUUAAAAUUUAUUUUCCUGGUAAUUUGGGGUGGUAGCUGUUUAUCAUAUGGAAUGAUAAACAAAAGCUGCAAAAGUCUUUUCAAAUGGGUUACUUUGCAGCCCUAUAGAGCAGAGCUUCAUGAGUUUUUUUGCAUUGUCAGGAAAAUCUAAACUAAUUUAAUUCAUGGCAGGGAGCAUAUGUUAAUGACUUCUCUGGGUGGAGGAAGGUAGUGCACACCUCCCUUCUAACUCAGUGGUCCUGAUCUACAAGCAGGCCAAUAGAUCAAAACCACAUGCUAUCUCAUGGUAAGAAUUGGAUUCAUGUUCUCUUUAGAUGCUUUUGUGCAUCACAAAAACCAUUGGUGAGUUUGCUACCGCUUCAAGCUGUCCAAAGGUUGAAUUAGGUCCAGGUGGGAUGGAUCCCUGAGCAGCCUGGGCUGCUGGGUGGCACCUCUGCCCCUGGAUGAUCUCCCCUCCACCCCAAACCAUUCUGUGAUCUCCCUGCCCAGCAGAACCAGGUGCUGCUGGCCAGCAGGAGAGGAAGGGAGGGAGCUCUGCUGUGAGCUGAUACAGCAUUUCUGCUUUGCCAGCUUCCUCCCUUGCAGGCUUGUUCUGACUUAACAGCUCUGUUGAAAAACUGUAUAAAGGAACCAAAAGAAAAGGUAUUUCAAGGAAUGAAAUUAAGAAUUGUAAGGAUCUUUGAAUAACUAGUGUUUUCAAACUGGGUUAAAGCAGACUUAGAGUAAUCUGACAUGAUGUAAUCCUAGUGAAGUUGCAGGAAAGCAGAAAUUAAGUAUUUAUUUGGUAUUACAGUGUCUAGUAUAAGAUAUUGUUAAGUACUGUCAGUAACUCAUUAUAUAUUUAUUUAAAAAAAUAAGAACUUAAAAGAAAAAAAGAAAUUUGAGAUUAGAAUGUGGUUGCUGUACAUGCAUUAUACAUGCUUCUCCUUCUGUUCCACUAAUGGAUCUUGACUGCCAGAACAGCGAAACGAACCAUUGAAAUUAGCGGAACUAAGACCCAGAUCUAUUAGAAAUUUUCAUUUGCCUCCAGUGUAGAAUUUCAGACAGAUCCCUGAUUUCUGCAAAGCAUUUCCAAAGUAUCACAGCUAUUCUGAAAAAUGAGUUUUCUGUCAAGGGGAACAAACGUGGUGGUAGAAGCCAUUGAAACUUCUGCUUCCUAAUGGCCACACUGAAAAGACAUGAAAAGGAUGAAGCAUCUCUAGUGGCACAUCAUUAAUGCUGGUGGCAAGCUGAGGAACUGCUGGGGAAAGAAAUAGCAGCAGCAGAAAGAGCAUGAGAUGAAUGAAGCUGGAGUCAUCAGCAUGGAAGUGCCACGUUAAUUAUACCAUGUUCUGAAAAGAACUAAAGGCAGAAACAAAGCUGAAACCAAGAGGCACAAGCCACCCAUGGAGGCUUCACUACCUGAUCUCACCAGGGUUUUAUUACAAGUCACUGCUGGAAAACAGAGCUUCUAACCUCUCAGUCCUGGUGAUCUCCCACUGCUGGAAGAGUGGCUAAUCCCAAAAUUUUCACGUCCUGAGCAAAAAUCAGAGGUAAAAUGCUAUUACAGUUGGAAAUGUAGUUGUUGGUUAUCAAACAAAAUAUGGAAUGGAACUUAUGGGCCACAGAAGUUACCCUUGUAAGGGGAAAAAUUCUAGCAAAAAUCAUGGUAAAAUAUACUGCAGAAGUGUCAAAAAUCUGGUCUUCAGUACAAAAUGCUCUUCUGAAACCCUCCAGCAUAAAGUUAUGCUUCAUUAUUAAUGCUGCCCAAGCAUGCUCUGCUUUUGCCAAAAUAAUGGAACUCUGAACCUUUGCUGGGACUUUCCAUAUGACUGUGGCUUUAAGUUAUAUCCUUCAAUUUUUUACUUUUUCUCUGUUUUGGUAAUGGGAAUGUUUAGUGCCUGGAAAAUUUGAGACACUGAAAGAACCUAAAAAAAUGUAUAUGCAGGAGAGGAUUUGGGUUUCUUCUGAAUCCUGGUCAGACUCUGGAAAACAGAACCAAACCUCAGAACCAAAAAUUCCUUCAUGAGUUUUCAACAUUUCUGCUAGUGCUGAGUUCCAGGGUCUGGCUUACAUUGGGAAACCUUGACUCCUGGCUCCAAAGGGUUCAAUUAGUCAAAAUGGUUGGCAGAUGGAAAAAAUAAUUAAGUUCCAUCCAGUGUUUUGUACAAUAAAAAUAGACUCAAGACACAAUGGCCUUACCUUGAACUUUGCAGGCCAGCGUCACAUAAAGAUAAAGAGGGAGUCAGCUUUUAGGAGCUGGAUUAUCUACCAGCACAUGAAAAGUGUGAAGCUGGGCUGCAAGGGCCAGAGGUAUCAGAAUGUGCAGGCUGAGCACGUGAUUAUUACCUUAAUGAUUGUUUUUUAGCCCAGAUUGAAGAUGCAAAUUCUGGCAAUGAGAAAUAACUUGACAUGGAUAUUAUGAGAUUACCAAAACCUCAUGAUAGUAGUAAUAACAAUAAUCAUCUGUUAUUUGAAGAGCUGCUGAAAUGCAUGGAAAUUUUAAAAUAUUAUUCUUAGAAAUCUUUCUCCUAAAUGCUUUGUCUUUCCUGAAAAUGACAGAAAAGUAGAUAGGUAACACUUUUCUCAAAUUUUCUUAUGCUCAAAUACAGCCUUAGAUGCCCAACUUCAAGAACUUGAGUACUUGAAUAUACAAUAAUGGACAAGAAACAUAACCUGUGCCAUAACAUGACAUCAAAAUUAUUUUUGCUUCAACUAUCCUGUAAGCUAUGUAGGCCAAAGAAUUAGAUCUCACAUUAUGCACCCGAUCAUUCUGAAUAAUGAAUAUAUUCACAAAAAACAUAUAGGCAUAUAGGGUAGAUUUUCAAAUUGGGAAGUGUGACUUACUCCACAAAUGAUUUAUUAUAAAAUAGGUUGUAGUGAAAUUUUUAUGGACGAAGCAAUGUUUUGGAUAAUAAAUUACAUAUUACAGACAAUAAAAAGUGGAAAGAUUCCCUACCACUGUCAACCUGGCAGUAGAGGACACGUGGGCUCUGGAGAUUUAUCUCUAAGUAUAGAAUGAAAUCUCCAGAUUAUUAGGGUGGAACAGAGUUCUAGGUUGCAAUAUUAAUAAAGUUUUCCAGAAAGUGUAAGAGUUCCACGUAUCUGCACUUGGACAUCUACGUUUUUACAUCUGCUCUUGGCUGUCACUCAGGGCUGGAUGCAACUGGGUGCUCAACAUCUAAAAGGGAUGGUGAAAUAAAUUACACAGAUCUCCCUGCAAGUCUGAUCAAGCUCUGAAAGGUGAGUUUCCACAUGUUGCUCAGUCAGAUUUUCUGUUAGCAAGACUGAGAGACGAAUAACAUAUGUUACCCCACAACUGACCUUGAAGGGGAACUGAAGAAACCAUCUUCCCUAGGGCUGGGAUGUAAUUCAGCCAUGAGCCUGCUCCGUAGAGGUCCUUUUCUGGAAAGACACUGCCAACUGCGUCGUAAGCCCUGGAAACGUUCCUGCCUGCAUCGACAGCAGAGCAUGAAGCUCUUGAUUCAUGGCCAGUCACAGCCCUGUCUGAUAGGGUUGGCCUGACUCUUCCAUGGUGUUUUCCAUCUCCUCUCUGAUGAGCACAUUCUGCUCAGGAAGAAGUCACAGGAGGGCUGCUCAACUCCCCUGUCCUUGGCUGGCUGAGCUGGGCACAAACAGGAGCUCACCCAUGACUGUUGCUCUCCAGCAGUGCUCAGCAGCUCCUGGGAGACGUGGAACUCUCCAUGGCCACAGAUGAUGCCAAGGGUUUAGGAUCUUCCCCUUGCUCCUUUCUCCCUUCAUGUCUUCUCCAAGGAGCUGCAUUUCAGUUUAGUGCCACGUUUGGAAAUGUGGGUUCCCAUGAUCUCUCAGAUGUGCCAACGGGCUCACUGGCAUCACAGGUCAGGGUUUCUGUCACCACCCGAAAAAUGGACUUAUUGGCAAAGGAACAAAGCUCAGAAAUAACGUUUUAAACCUGUCAAGUCUGAUUUACAGAAAGCUUCCAUGAUCUAGAAAAGAAACAAGCAGUGAUUGCAUUCUACUCCACCCUAAUUUUAAUUAUAAAAAAUGCUAGUAUGGUUUUCCAGUUGACUUCCCUGUAUAGGAAAUAAGUAGAGUUGGAGUAAAUCUUCCAAAUAAACAUGUUUCUCAGACAUAAACAUGAUAAAUCUUUUCUUUUGAGAAAGAUAUAAAGAAUGGUUAACUUAAAAUAUGCAUAUAAUAACAUAUUACCCACAGCUUCUCAUGUUUAAAAGGAUUCCAUAUGCUGGGAAAACCCAUAAAAUAAAACCCAAGAAAUGCUGCAUCCUCUUUCUAUUAAUUUGAAAC